rnacentral:rRNA from 1 species
GACGAACGCUGGCGGCGUGCCUAAUACAUGCAAGUCGAGCGAGCGGAACCAACAGAUUUACUUCGGUAAUGACGUUGGGAAAGCGAGCGGCGGAUGGGUGAGUAACACGUGGGGAACCUGCCCCUAAGUCUGGGAUACCAUUUGGAAACAGGUGCUAAUACCGCAUAACAUAUUGUUUUCGCAUGGAGAUGAUAUCAAAGGAGCAAUCCGCUUUAAGAUGGACUCGCGUCCAAUUAGCUAGUUGGUGAGGUAACGGCCCACCAAGGCGACGAUUGGUAGCCGGACUGAGAGGUUGAACGGCCACAUUGGGACUGAGACACGGCCCAG